GCGAGAGUGGCGGAACUGGCAGACGCGCAGGAUUUAGGUUCCUGUGGGGCAACCCGUGGGGGUUCGAGUCCCCCCUCUCGCACCA
rnacentral:tRNA from 1 species